UCCGCCGAGGGGCGCUGCGACCGUGUCGAUGCGGGGUUCCCCGCCUGCAGACCCGGCCAGGCUCGGCGGCAGGCUUGAGCGACAACGGCGCCCGGACCUU
rnacentral:ncRNA from 2 species